CACAAACUCAUCCUUUUUUAUGGCUGCAUAGUAUUCCAUGGUGUAUAUGUAUAUAUAUUAUGUAGCAAUAUUAUGAGUGUGUUUUCUCUAUUUCCCAAAUUUUCUGCCAAAACCUUCAGAAUGUGAUUGUAACUGAUAGAAAAUUCAGAUAUGUUAUUGGGCUCAGAAUACUUUCUGGGAAAUUUUCUCAGAGGAAUUUCCUUCAAAAAUAUUAACUUUUAAAAAAUAUUAUCAGUGGGAUCAGUUUUUACUUUUAGAAGACUUGCUAAUUGCAAUAAUAUUUUGAUAAUUUUAAAUAUUUCAAAAGGCCCUUGGAUGAGAAAAAGAAUUGAAGCCCAGCAACUAUUAGGAAAGUUCUGUUUGUUGUAGAAGUAGAAACAAGAAUGAAUUCACAUGAAUAUUUUAAAGCCGCUUGUAAUCUCCAAAAUGAAAAACUUAAAUUCGGCAAGAGACAAUACUUGGCUCAAAAGCCUCUUGUCCUUUCAGUUACUGGAAAAAGUCUAGGUCAAGUUGAUCACUUUCAAUCAAUUCCAUCUCUUGACUUUUCGAUUGCGUGACCUUUGGGGAAUUAAUUGGGACUCUUGUGUCAUUUCCUAGGAAUAGCUGUCCUGAUCAUAAAAUUCAGCAGAGCCUACAUUUCUCUUCUUGAAUAUCCUAUCCCAGAUCCACAGACUAAAUGGAAGAAUAAAGUUAUUACCACCACCACCACCCCAAAGAUGGGGAACCUUGACUCUGGAAGAAUCUUCAGUUCCUCCUGCAAAGCUCAGCUCUGGAGUGGCAGUUCUCCUCUACUCUGCUAAGUGACGGGACCAUCACCUCCUCCCUUCUGUGACCCUAGACACAGGAGUAGCAGCUGCUUUCUAAAGUUACUAAUCUGUGGUUUAUCUCAUUUUUCCCUCUUCUUGCCUUCCAACAUAUUUCAUGUAUUAAACUCACUGUUUAAAAUA